GCCAAGAUCGCAUAACUCGGUAUUGCGCUACACUGCUAAUGUAGUUCCUUCGGAAUUCUGGGUUCAAAUCCCAGUCUUGGCG
rnacentral:tRNA from 1 species